rnacentral:tRNA from 1 species
GCCUCCUUGGCGCAAUCGGCUAGCGCGUUCGGCUGUUCAUCAAAAGGUUGGUGGUUCUAGCCCACCCGGAGGCU